rfam:Octopus bimaculoides Scaffold1763_contig_51, whole genome shotgun sequence.
UCAACAGUUCUUUUUAGAACCACAAACAUAUUUAAUGAAGGUUAC